rnacentral:rRNA from 1 species
UUAAUGAAUGACGGGGCCGCACAAGCGUGGAGAUGUGGUUUAAUUCGAUGCAACGCGAAGAACCUUACCUGGUCUUGACAUCCCGGAGACCCUUAGGAAACUAGGGGGUGCUUCCAUCUGGAAGAAUCUGGAGACAGGUGCUGCAUGGCUGUCGUCAGCUCGUGUCGUGAGAUGUUGGGUUAAGUCCCGCAACGAGCGCAACCCUUGCCUUUAGUUGCCAGCAGUUCGGCUGGGCACUCUAAAGGGACUGCCGGUGUUAAACCGGAGGAAGGUGGGGAUGACGUCAAGUCCUCAUGGCCUUUAUGACCAGGGCUACACACGUACUACAAUGGCCGAUACAAAGGGCAGCGACACUGCGAGGUGAAGCCAAUCCCGUAAAAUCGGUCUCAGUCCGGAUUGGAGUCUGCAACUCGACUCCAUGAAGUUGGAAUCGCUAGUAAUCGUGGAUCAGCAUGCCACGGUGAAUACGUUCCCGGGCCUU